ACGUUCAACAACACUUAUUCUGAAAUUGUAAUGAUACAGACGAGAUUAGCAUUGCCCCUGCACAAGUAUAAUACAGUAACUCGUGAAGCAGAAUUCUUCAUU
rnacentral:snRNA from 1 species